rnacentral:rRNA from 1 species
AAUGAACGCUGGCGGCGCGCCUAAUACAUGCAAGUCGAGCGAGAAGACGUAGCAAUACGUUUGUAAAGCGGCGAACGGGUGAGGAAUACAUGGGUAACCUACCCUCGAGUGGGGAAUAACUAGCCGAAAGGUUAGCUAAUACCGCGUACGCUUCUUGGACUUCGGUUCAGGGAGGAAAGCGAUACCGUGGGUAUCGCGCUCUUGGAUGGGCUCAUGUCCUAUCAGCUUGUUGGUGAGGUAACGGCUCACCAAGGCUUCGACGGGUAGCUGGUCUGAGAGGACGAUCAGCCACACUGGCACUGCGACACGGGCCAGACUCCUACGGGAGGCAGCAGUAAGGAAUAUUGCGCAAUGGGCGAAAGCCUGACGCAGCGACGCCGC